rnacentral:rRNA from 1 species
UACCAGCUGGCUGCAACUGUUUAUUAAAAACACAGCACUGUGCAAACACGAAAGUGGACGUAUACGGUGUGACGCCUGCCCGGUGCCGGAAGGUUAAUUGAUGGGGUCAGCGCAAGCGAAGCUCCUGAUCGAAGCCCCGGUAAACGGCGGCCGUAACUAUAACGGUCCUAAGGUAGCGAAAUUCCUUGUCGGGUAAGUUCCGACCUGCACGAAUGGCGUAAUGAUGGCCAGGCUGUCUCCACCCGAGACUCAGUGAAAUUGAACUCGCUGUGAAGAUGCAGUGUACCCGCGGCAAGACGGAAAGACCCCGUGAACCUUUACUAUAGCUUGACACUGAACAUUGAGCCUUGAUGUGUAGGAUAGGUGGGAGGCUUUGAAGCGUGGACGCCAGUCUGCGUGGAGCCGACCUUGAAAUACCACCCUUUAAUGUUUGAUGUUCUAACGUGGACCCGUAAUCCGGGUUGCGGACAGUGUCUGGUGGGUAGUUUGACUGGGGCGGUCUCCUCCUAAAGAGUAACGGAGGAGCACGAAGGUUGGCUAAUCCUGGUCGGACAUCAGGAGGUUAGUGCAAUGGCAUAAGCCAGCUUGACUGCGAGCGUGACGGCGCGAGCAGGUGCGAAAGCAGGUCAUAGUGAUCCGGUGGUUCUGAAUGGAAGGGCCAUCGCUCAACGGAUAAAAGGUACUCCGGGGAUAACAGGCUGAUACCGCCCAAGAGUUCAUAUCGACGGCGGUGUUUGGCACCUCGAUGUCGGCUCAUCACAUCCUGGGGCUGAAGUAGGUCCCAAGGGUAUGGCUGUUCGCCAUUUAAAGUGGUACGCGAGCUGGGUUUAGAACGUCGUGAGACAGUUCGGUCCCUAUCUGCCGUGGGCGCUGGAGAACUGAGGGGGGCUGCUCCUAGUACGAGAGGACCGGAGUGGACGCAUCACUGGUGUUCGGGUUGUCAUGCCAAUGGCACUGCCCGGUAGCUAAAUGCGGAAGAGAUAAGUGCUGAAAGCAUCUAAGCACGAAACUUGCCCCGAGAUGAGUUCUCCCUGAGACUUUAGGUCUCCUGAAGGAACGUUGAAGACGACGACGUUGAUAGGCCGGGUGUGUAAGCGCAGCGAUGCGUUGAGCUAACCGGUACUAAUGAACCGUGAGGCUUAACCUUACAACGCCGAAG